rnacentral:rRNA from 1 species
AAUCAACGCUGGCGGCGUGCCUAACACAUGCAAGUCGAGCGGCAGCGCGGGGCAACCUGGCGGCGAGCGGCGAACGGGUGAGUAAUGCAUCGGAACAUGUCCAUGUCGUGGGGGAUAGCCCGGCGAAAGCCGGAUUAAUACCGCAUAAGCCCGGGAGGGGAAAGCAGGGGACCGCAAGGCCUUGCGCGAUUGGGUUGGCCGAUGUCCGAUUAGCUUGGUGGUGAGGUAAAGGCUUACCAAGGCGAUGAUCGGUAGCUGGUCUGAGAGGAUGAUCAGCCACACUGGGACUGAGACACGGCCCAGACUCCUACGGGAGGCAGCAGUGGGGAAUUUUGGACAAUGGGGGCAACCCUGAUCCAGCCAUUCCGCGUGAGUGAAGAAGGCCUUCGGGUUGUAAAGCUCUUUUGUCCGGAGCGAAACGGUGGCGGUGAAUAUCCGCCACUACUGACGGUACCGGAAGAAUAAGCACCGGCUAACUACGUGCCAGCCGCCGCGGUAA